UCCAGGGUAGCCUAGUGGACAUGGCAUCUUUCCUGUAAGCGGAACACUGUGGGUUCGAUUCCCAUCCCUGGAC